CGAGUCGACUAUGCUUCGAUCGCUCACCCCCAGUCGAAUGGGCAAGCAGAAAGGGAGAACGGCCUGAUUCUCAAAGGACUGAAACCCCGAUUGAUGCAUGAUCUCAAGCACGCAGCAGGUGCAUGGGUCGACGAGCUUCCAUCAGUCCUUUGGGGAUUAAGAACAACCCCGAAUCGAUCGACCGGAAGAACCCCAUUCUUUCUAGUCUACGGAGCCGAGGCAGUCUUACCGAGUGACCUGCUUCACAAUGCUCCCCGAGUCGAGCUCUACUCUGAAGAUGAAGCAGAACAAGCCCGGCAGGAUGUAGUCGACCUCCUAGAAGAAGAAAGAGAAAUG
rnacentral:rRNA from 1 species